UACGUAGGGUGCGAGCGUUGAUCGGAAUUACUGGGCGUAAAGUGUGCGCAGGCGGCCGAGCAAGUCGAGUGUGAAAGCCCCGGGCUUAACUUGGGAAUUGCGCUCGAAACUACUUGGCUUGAGUGUGGCAGAGGAAGGUGGAAUUCCACGUGUAGCGGUGAAAUGCGUAGAGAUGUGGAGGAACACCGAUGGCGAAGGCAGCCUUCUGGGCCAACACUGACGCUCAUGCACGAAAGCGUGGGGAGCAAACAGG
rnacentral:rRNA from 1 species